GGUUUGAUUAUGGCUCAGAUUUUCGCUGGAGUGGGAUGCUUUACAACAUGCAAGUCGAACGGCAGCACGGACUUCGGUCUGGUGGUGAGUGGCGAACGGGUGAGUAAUGUAUCGGAAACGCCUUGCAGGGGAUAACUACGCGAAAGCGUAGCUAAUACCGCAUACGCCCUUCGGGGGAAAGCGGGGACCUUUCGGGCCUCGCACUAUUAGGAGCGGCCGAUAUCGGAUUAGCUAGUUGGUGGGGUAACGGCUCACCAAGGCGACGAUCCGCUGGUUUGAGAGGACGACCAGCCACACUGGGACUGAGACACGGCCCAGACUCCUACGGGAGGCAGCAGUGGGGAAUUUUUGGACAAUGUGGGGAAACCUGUCCAGCCAUCCUUCGCAAAGGGAGGGCGAAGGCCUCUCGGGUUGUAAAGCACUUUAUAGGAAAGAACGGGUCGGGAUAAUACCCCGUGCAACUGACGGUGCACUCGCAGAAUAAGCACUCGACACCACGUGCGCCAGCAGCCGCACAUGAAGGGGCGUUAAUCGGAAUUACUGGCGUAGCGUGCGCAGCAGGCGGUUCGGAAAGAAAGAUGUGAAAUCCUGUAUUAACUUUCUUGAACUGCAUUUUUAACUACCGAGUUGAUGCAAAGAGGAGGUGAAUUCAUGCGUAGCAGUGAAAUGCGUAGAUAUGCGGAGGAACACCGAUGGCGAAGGCAGCCUCCUGGGAUAACACUGACGCUCAUGCACGAAAGCGGGGAGCAAACAGGAUUAGAUACUCCUGUAGUCCACGCCCUAAACGAUGUCAACUAGCUGUUGGGGCCUUCGGGCCUGUAGGCAAGCAGCUAUCGUGUGAAGUUGACCGCCUGGGGGAUACGGUCAUAAGAUUAAAAAACUCAAAGGAAUUGACGGGACCAUGCUGCGGAUGAUGUGAUUAAUUCCGAUGCAACGCGAAAAACCUUACCGUCUGACAUGACUGAAUCCCGAAGAGAUUUGGGAGCGGGCCACAAGAGAACCGAACACAGGUUGCAUGGCUGCCGUCAGUCGUGUCGAGAUGUUGGGUUAAGUCCUUGCAACGAGCGCAACCCUUGCCACAGUUGCUACGAAAGGGGCACGACGAGAUCGUCAGUACAAACCGGAGGAAGGUGGGGAUGACGUCAAGUCCUCAUGGCCCAUGGUAGGGUCAUCGUCAUACAAUGGUCGGGACAGAGGGUCGCCAACCCGCGAGGGAGCCAACCCAGAAACCCGAUCGUAGUCCGGAUCGCAGUCUGCAACUGACUGCGUGAAGUCGAAUCGCUAGUGACCGUAUUCGCAUGCCGCGGUGAAUACGUUCGGGUCUUGUACACACCGCCCGUCACAAUCUGCUAUGGGAGUGGGUUUUACCAGAAGUAGUUAGCCUAACCGUAAGGAGGGCGAUUACCACGGUAGGAUUCAUGACUGGGGUGAAGUCGUAAUAAAGGUAG
rnacentral:rRNA from 1 species